CCUACGGGAGGCAGCAGUGGGGAAUAUUGCACAAUGGGGGAAACCCUGAUGCAGCGACGCCGCGUGAGUGAAGAAGUAAUUCGGUAUGUAAAGCUCUAUCAGCAGGGAAGAAAAUGACGGUACCUGACCAAGAAGCCCCGGCUAACUACGUGCCAGCAGCCGCGGUAAUACGUAGGGGGCAAGCGUUAUCCGGAUUUACUGGGUGUAAAGGGAGCGUAGACGGUGAUGCAAGUCUGAAGUGAAAGCCCGGGGCUCAACCCCGGGACUGCUUUUGAAACUGUGUGACUGGAGUGCAGGAGAGGUAAGCGGAAUUCCUGGUGUAGCGGUGAAAUGCGUAGAUAUUAGGAGGAACACCGGCGGCGAAGGCGGCCUGCUGGACCGUAACUGACGUUGAGGCUCGAAAGCGUGGGGAGCAAACAGGAUUAGAUACCCUUGUAGUC
rnacentral:rRNA from 1 species